AUGAGCAAGAGGCGAAAGAGGAGCAACCUCGCCGGCCGGCAUCCCCUGCCCCAACGCCGCCGUGAAAACGAAUGGCGAGAUUGGCCCAACCUGCCGACGGCACUCGUCGAGGACAUCGCCGGCCGGCUGCUCAGCCACGACGUGGCCGAGUACAUCCGCCUCCGCGCCGCGUGCAAGGAGUGGAGGAGAUGCACCGACGACCCGCGCGAGGGAUGCAACCGCCUGGACCCCCGCUUCCGUCCCCGCCGCUGGAUCAUUCUGUCCAACCGCACCGAUGGAGACGGCCGCCGCUUCCUCAACCUCUCCACCGGCGCCAGCGCCCGCGUCGACCUCCCGGAGCUCUCCCGACACCACCUCGAGACCAGCACCGAGGGCCUCCUGCUCCUGCGCGACAAGGCGAGCCACGCUGUGCGCCUCCUCAACCCGCUCACCAGGGCCCUCACCGACCUCCCGCCAAUCACCGAGGACCUUGGCAGCGCAUACACUGUCUGGACCAUGGGACUGUUCCAGUCGGUGUCGCGCACCGUCUACGCCAGCGUGUCUUACGAGACCUCCCCGCCGUCAGUCGUGCUCCUGAUGGUUGACCGUGGUCGUGCCAUAGCCUACGCCAAGCCUGGAGACCAGCGGUGGGCGGUGAUGGAUGACGAGAUGUGGAGGCCCGACAACCCCAUGUCGUGUCGGUUCUCGUCGGCGUCGACCCUGCAGGGGCGCUUCUACUUCGCGACUCUCGAGGGGCACAUAAUGCAUGCCCGGCUCUGUCCCGAGCCUCGUGUGGUGCCCGUGGUUGUGGACCAGCCCAACACCGACUACAACAUGUUCUGCUACCUCGUACCUCCCGACAAAGACGACCACCGCUCCGGUGGCGGCAUGCUCAUGGUGCGUUACUACAUCAACCUGGACCACCUCAGCGCCGAUGAGCAAAGAAUCAUGAAGCGCAGGAGGAAAGUCAUGGACGUGAUCAGGGUGGAGCACCAGAUGAGGGAGAACCGGUGGAACCUGAUCCAGGUGUUUGAGGUGGAUGUGGCCGGGAAGAGACUUGUUCCGGUGGAGGACAUUGGCCAGCACCGCGCCGUGUUUGUCGGGGAUGUGGCGUGCUUCUCCCUCUCGGCCAGGAGGUUUCCAUGCGUGGCAGGGAACGCCGUGUACAUGGGGGCGCGCGGUGCCCGCUGCCCUCCCGUCGGCGUGCGGUAUCUGGCUGACAAGACCGCUGAUCCACCGUUUAAGUUCACCACCGACGAUCCACCGCUUUUAGAUGAUAUACCAGUGAAGCGGUACCGCCAGGGCAGACCAGAUCUGAAUCUAGUGCCUCUUGCUCGCCCCUGUACCCUCCAAGAGUACCUUGUCUGUUGCGCAGGCCUCCUCGGCGGCCUCAAAGACUAA
rnacentral:rRNA from 1 species